rnacentral:rRNA from 1 species
GGCUCAGAACGAACGCUGGCGGCGUGCUUAACACAUGCAAGUCGAACGAACCUUCGGGUUAGUUGGCGGACGGGUGAGUAACGCGUGAGAAUCUGCCCUCAGGAGGGGGAUAACGGUUGGAAACGACCGCUAAUACCCCAUAUGCCGAGAGGUGAAAAGAAAUUCGCCUGAGGAUGAGCUCGCGUCUGAUUAGCUAGUUGUUGUGGUAAUGGCGCGCCAAGGCUUCGAUCAGUAGCUGGUCUGAGAGGAUGAUCAGCCAC